ACAACCCUCCAACCCAGAGCGCAGUGAAGUCUACCCACGCUGGCACUCUCUCCUACUGACACAAGAGAUGGAGGGAGAGAAGGAGAGAGAGAGGGAGCGGGGAGAGGAGAAAGAGAGCGACGAGACGGAGGAAGAGGAGAAACAGAGCGACGAGGCUGAAGAGGAAGAUGAUGAAGAGGAUGAUGAUGAAGAUGCGGAGGGAGCUGCGUUGGUGUGGCAGGAGGGGUCAUACGGAGAGGAUGACCUGGGCCUACCCAUAAUGCAUUGGGAGGCGCUGAGCCUGCGCAUCGCAGAGCUGGAGAAACAGGAAGUGGAGAAGAGAGAGAAGAAAACAAAGUCUUCCAGUGUCCUUGAACGAGGUAAGAAAUUGUCAGCAAGCCGGCCGGAGGAGAGAGAGAGAGGGAAGACGCUGUCCAUGAACCGGCCAGGAGACAGGGAGCAAGGGAAGAGUAAGGAGAGCUGGGAGGACAGAGGCGAGGAGGACUGCAAUAGCCGCGUGACAGCCCUAACCUCGCGUCUUUCGAAUCAGAUGAACCUCCAGCUGUGCUUCAUCAAUGACAGCGGAAGCGAAGAAGAAGAUGAAGAUACUGGCAAAAAAGUUAGUGUGAAGAAUUCCAAAAUUGUUGGUAAGAGCGGUUCCAGUGUGCAGGUGCGCCAGCAGCCCAAGUUCCCUGCCCCCCCUGCAGCCAAGAGCAAAUCAUCAGGCUUCAAGGCUGCACUGAGCGCGCUCAGAAACAAGCUGAGGACCGAGCAGAAACAGGAGAGCCCAGCUUGUUGUAAUCAGCUGUUGAAGAAUAAAAGGCUGGACCGAAGUGACCUGCAAGCCUUCAGUCUCAAAGAGCUCAACGCCCACCAAAACUCUCUCAACAAGGCUAUACAAGGUGAGUGGUCACUUAGAUACUACGCAGGAUAUAUUGCAUAUUUACACUGAGUGUACAAAACAUUGCUCUUUCCAUGACAUAGACUGACCAGGUGAAAGCUAUGAUCCCUUAUUGAUGUCACCGGUUAAAUCAACCUCAAUCAGUGUAGAUGAAGGGGAGAAGACAGGUUAAAGACGGAUUUUUAAGCCUUGAGACAAGUGAGACAUAGAUUGUGUAUAUGGGCCAUUCAGAGGGUGAAUGGGCAAGACAAAAGACUUAAGUGCCUUUGAACGGGGUAUGGUUUGAGUGUCAAGAACUGCAACGCUGCUGGGUUUUUCACACUAAACAGUUUCCAGAGUGUAUGAAGAAUGGUCCACCACCCAAAGGACAUCCAGCCAACUUCACACAACUGUGGGAAGCAUUGGAGUCAACAUGGGCCAGCAUGGAACACUUUUGACACCUUGUAGAGUUCAUGCACCGACAAAUUGAGACUGUUCUGAGGGCAAAAUCAGGUGCAACUCAAUAUUAGGAAGGUGUUCCUGUUUUGUAUACUCAGUGUAUAUUUUAGAUAUAGGCUAAUUUAUAUUUCACCUUUUUCAGCCAACAAGUGCUCAGCAUAUGUGGGAACCAACCUUAUUAUUUUACCUGUAUUUCACCUUUGUCAAAUGAUCUGUACAACUGCAUUUGAUCUUACAUUUUUGAUCUGACAUUUUGUUUGUGUUUGUGUUUGUGUGCCCGUGCGCAUGUGGGUGUGUCUCUGUGCCUCGUCCAUUAGACCUUAGCACAGAGCUGGUGGUUCAUCUUCAGACUCGGGACCAGCUGAGGACAGAACAGGAUGCUAUGCUGCUGGAGGUACAGGACAUGACAUCACUCUGACGUCACCUUAGAAUCACAUAUAGAACCCUGACCAAGAUGGCUGCCAUUAUCAGCACAAUCUAGAGCUAUGCAGGUCUAUGACAAGCCACUCUUGUGUAUUAUAUACUCUAUGGACGACACUUUCAGAAGGCCCAUCACCAUAGAAUAAUUUGAAUCUUUCUAAGUUCUACGAUCAUCGUCUAAUAAAAUGGAAUCCCGGUGUCAGAGAUCAGGUCACAAUCCGUCAAUGACGGACACCGGUGCUUGAAAUUAAUGGACGAAUCAAAUCAAUGUGAAGAGACUGCAUCACUCCUAAAUACUUUUUUGGAUUGAAUUGCACAGCAUUUUGUUUUUAUUCCCCAGUGAGCAAAACUGGUUGAAAUGACGUCAUCGAACCCAGUUUCACAUUUAUUAUGACAUCAUAUCAACCGGUUUUGCUCUGUGUUUUUUUGUGUUUUUAUAAAGGGAAACGUGUAUGUCUGGACUGUUAAUGUUGUUGUGUUGUAGUGUUUUAGGGGGAAAAUAACGGUAAUAUUAUAAGGGAUUAAUAAGCUGCUAUUGCUACCCAUGGAUCAGUCUAGUUCAAAUGUCCAUUGUCAUCCACAUGUUGAAAUGCAAUGAUCGUUUGGUAGCACAUUAUUUGAACUAUACGUCAUACGGUAUCAUAACAAAUGUCCGAAGAUUUCUUGUCAUUGAGCGUUACGACGUAGAGUUUGAAUAAAGUGUUACCGAUUGUUUUUUAUUCUUGUUGCCGGGACACUUUUCAUUGUUUGUUUUGAUUUUUAUGUUGCCGGGACACAGCUAUGUCUUCUAUUCUCGUCGAUGUUUUAAUGUAUGCAUGAUGAUCGUUGAAUGAGUCAGUCAGAGAAAGGGGCAUUACUAACCAAACAGACACACACACAGUAAUGUGAGCACAGCUCAACUCAAUGACUUGGGUCUACUGAAAUAGCAGGAAAAGUAAAGGGUAUGGAAUACUAUAUUAACCUGCAUACUGUUGUAAUAUGACAACAAUGUAACCUACCAGCCGACCGACAAGAUGCCUGACCAAGCCUCACUCGUUUGGUACUGUUGUCAUAAAACACCAACACAAGGAGCAUUGGGAUUUUGUCCGGGUUACAUGAGUUUGACGUCACUGUUGACGUUGUUUUAUUCUACAAUAAUUUUGCAUGAAAUAAACAGGUUGUCAAGGAUACAUAUUGUGUGUAGGUGUGCUAGUGCUGCUUUGUAUGUAUGUAUGUAUGUAUGUACCUGUAUCUAGAGAUGGAUUAAGUGUACAUGUACAGUAGCUAUUUACAUAAUGUAUUUAGCACAGAUGUAAAUUGUAUACAUUGCCGUCUGUGUGUGUGUGCGUUCGUGCGUGCGUGUGUGUGACUUCAGCCCUGGUUAGAGUUUGCCUUAGCCAAAUGUCUAGAUCAGCAGAAUGGGAGGAAGAGAGGGGGACAGGGGGAGGGAGGGAAAGAUAGAGGGACAAGAGGAGAGAGAGGGUGGGAGGGAGGGAGGGACUGUGUCACACCGACAAAGACACGAGGCAGACAGGGAUGAGUUAGAGGAGCCAAAAACAGGUAGACAGGAGGCAGACCUGAAGGUGACUCAUUAUGUCAAGAGAGAGAUAGACUUUCCAACACAGAGUUUCUUGAUUGGUCAUUUUGUUCUUAUAUAUUCACCAUUUUACCCGUGGUCUUCACUGGUAUCUUCUUGAUUGGUCAUUUUGCUCUUAUAUAUUCACCAUUUUACCCGUGGUCUUCACUGGUAUCUUCUUGAUUGGUCAUUUUGCUCUUAUAUAUUCACCAUUUUACCCGUGGUCUUCACUGGUAUCUUCUUGAUUGGUCAUUUUGCUCUUAUAUAUUCACCAUUUUACCCGUGGUCUUCACUGGUAUCUUCUUGAUUGGUCAUUUUGCUCUUAUAUAUUCACCAUUUUACCCGUGGUCUUCACUGGUAUCUUCUUGAUUGGUCAUUUUGCUCUUAUAUAUUCACCAUUUUACCCGUGGUCUUCACUGGUAUCUUCUUGAUUGGUCAUUUUGCUCUUAUAUAUUCACCAUUUUACCCGUGGUCUUCACUGGUAUCUUCUUGAUUGGUCAUUUUGCUCUUAUAUAUUCACCAUUUUACCCGUGGUCUUCACUGGUAUCUUCUUGAUUGGUCAUUUUGCUCUUAUAUAUUCACCAUUUUACCCGUGGUCUUCACUGGUAUCUUCAGUCUUUUAGUUUUUUUGGACUCUGUUUUUCUAACUUGGAGAACAGGGAUAAAGGAAGAGCACUUUGAACCACAGCUCAUUUCAACAGGUAUGUCCUUUUAUUUUGCUUACAAAGCUCACAGAUUGCAGGGAUUUAGGUAUUUAUGCUGUUUACAUUUAUAGAUUUAUUACAGUUACAUUUAUUGCCACUCUCUCUAUGUGCCAUAAUUUCUUAUGACAACCAGGAGACCAGUCCUGACACACACAGUACAACCAGGAGACCAGUCCUGACACACACAGUACAACCAGGAGACCAGUCCUGACACACACAGUACAACCAGGAGACCAGACCUGACACACACUAGGACACCAGAGACGCGUCCUGACCACACAUACAACGGAGACCAGUCCUGACACACAAAG
ensembl:lncRNA